UGGUCAUGUGUUUUUAUUCAAGGUAGAAAUCAUCAGUGUGAAGUAAUCUUUCCACUUUCUGCCCUCUUUAGAUUUCACCACCCAAUCCUUAGUCCUUUGGAGAGCAGUUUCCAGCUGGAAGUUGAUGUCCUGAAUCACCUCUUGAAGGCCCAGGCCCAGAUCUCUGAGUGGAAAUUCCUCCCAUCCCUAGUUAACUUGCACAGUGCUCACACCAAGCUGCAGACCUGGGGCCAGAUCUUUGAAAAGCAGCGGGAGACCAAGAAACAUCUGUUUGGAGGGCAAUCUCAGAAGGCCGUUCAGCCUCCACACCUUUUCCUUUGGCUGAUGAAACUCAAAACCAUGCUGCUGGCCAAAUUUAGCUUUUACUUUCAUGAGGCUCUGAGCCGUCAAACGACUGCUUCAGAAAUGAAAGCAUUGACUGCAAAAGCUAACCCAGACCUUUUUGGAAAGAUUUCCAGCUUCAUCAGGAAAUAUGAUGCUGCCAAUGUGUCCUUAAUUUUUGACAACCGAGGUUCAGAGAGCUUUCAGGGUCAUGGCUAUCACCACCCCCAUUCCUACAGAGAGGCCCCUAAGGGUGUGGACCAAUAUCCAGCUGUGGUGUCACUGCCCAGUGACAGGCCAGUCAUGCACUGGCCGAAUGUCAUCAUGAUCAUGACAGACCGCACGUCAGACCUGAACAGCUUGGAGAAGGUGGUCCAUUUCUAUGAUGACAAAGUGCAAAGCACCUACUUCCUGACCCGUCCAGAACCCCACUUUACCAUUGUUGUCAUUUUUGAGUCAAGGAAAUCCGAGAGAGACUCCCACUUUAUUUCCUUCCUCAAUGAGCUCUCGCUUGCCCUAAAGAACCCCAAAGUUUUUGCAAGUCUAAAACCUGGAUCCAAAGGUUAGCGAGGUAAUUUGCAGGAAAGAUUUUCAAGACUGGAAAUGGUGUUCUUAAUUGCUCUGAUGAUCAACAGUGGUCUGUGACUAGAAUUUACAUCUAUUCCUGCUUCUUUCAGAACUAAAUUAAAGACAAAUCCUCUAUAAUUGUGUUGCAUACUUUAUAAGCAAUUAAGGCUAUUUGAAUUAAGUACCCAAAGAGUAAUCUAGGAAGUGAUUUUGGGCUAUGUGUAUUUCUAUGAUACAGCAAAGCAGUUUCAGUAUUUUUUCUGAUUUUCCUGUAAUUCAUGUGGACUGAGUAUUUAUUGGCCUUUGAUUUUUCUCUUAUUAUUCUAAACAUUGUGUUCUAAUGCACUUCCAUAACCCUCUUUCCUCUCCUCCUUCAUGGAAGAGUAAUUGGGAUAAGAUACUAA